UUUCUAGAAUAUAUAUAUGUAUAUAAAAAUAAUUAAUGGGAUAAAUAAAUAAGAGCAGUCUUUUCAUUAUAAUCGGUUGUUUGUUCACUCCUAAUUAGUAAUCUGCAUCUGCUAUGUCAAGUAUAUGUUCGCAAAGAAUCCAACUGUCUGUCAUUAGCAGGCAGGGAGCAAUUUUAUUUGAGAGCUGCAUAACAAAAAUCCAAAGACAUCGAGCAUUAGUAAUUGGGACAGGUUUGUCCAACAAAAAGGUUGACUAAAAAUUUAGCUUUGAGUUAGUGGUUUUUCUAUAGCAAACAACCUCUCUAUCAACACAAGAGGUAACAUCUGAGUACUUUCAUCCCUCUCAAACUCUAUUUUGUGAUAUUACACUAGGUAUGUUGUUAUUACUAUUGUUGUUGAGUUGUUUGGAGUUAAGAAGUUAUUAAAAUAACUUUUGUUACUUACAAUCCAAACGCACCCAAAAAUUAUAGAGAAAUCAUGAACUCUCGUGAUAUGACUUCCCAACAUCCUUCUAAUGGUAGCAAUGUCAUACUUGGUGAAGUUCCAAUCUCAAGGAAGUAGAAUUCCUUUUGGAAAAAAGAAACUGAAUUGUGUCUAUAAAAAUAUCUUAUCAUUUUUCAUUGGCAGAGUGAUAAUUAAAGGCUAUCAUACUAACAAUGUAACCUUAACAUAUUUAGUGUAAUCUCACAAUUGUAGGAUCCAUGAUGGUGGUGUGUGCUCAGCCUUACUUCUGCCUUGUGAAGAACUAUUAUAGUAGAGGUUGCAUGUGUUAAUUAGUUAUCACAAAAUUUUAGACUUUACUGGGAGUGUGAUAUAUGAUCUUGUAACUGCUGGAAGUGAGAAUCAUCUGGUGCUGGUAUACUUAAGAAAUAAGGUAUGCAGAAGAUGCAGAUGGCUCUGGAUCACAUUAUUUAGUUGGCAAUGGGAAUCUACUUUUAUGAGUACUACACAUAUAUCUUCUUCUAAAUGAAUGCAAAUGAGAAUUAUGAGCGCAAAGCAUGUGAAUAUGUGAAUGUUAAAACCUAAGAUGACAUUCAUAAGGCUUUUUAAUUACUA